UUUAUAUGUGUAUAAGUUAAACACUCAGGUGUGUAUAUGUGUAUAAGUUAAACACUCAGGUUAUAAGCUCAGGUGUGUAUAUGUGUAUAAGUUAAACACUCAGGUGUGUAUAUGUGUAUAAGUUAAACACUCAGGUUAUAAGCUCAGGUGUGUAUAUGUGUAUAAGUUAAACACUCAGGUUAUAAGCUCAGGUGUGUAUAUGUGUAUAAGUUAAACACUCAGGUGUGUAUAUGUGUAUAAGUUAAACACUCAGGUGUGUAUAUGUGUAUAAGUUAAACACUCAGGUGUGUAUACGUUUAUAAGUUAAACACUCAGGUGUUGGUUCAGGUGUGCUGGUCGGUUCUUGCCUUCUGCGUGUAGCCCUGCAGGGUCUCCUGAGCGCAGCCCACCACCACAUUCUUCCCGACCCUCACCAGGCCCACGGGGUGGGAGCUCAGCUCGAUGCAGUACUUGGGCUUGGGGGAUUCCCUGAGGGGAGACACACACUCAGUCCAACAGACAGCGAGGUGCCCAAGCUCCAGGGGCGAUGGGUGAGCCACAGCGAGGGCUUUUUCUGUUUGAGAAGCGUUACUACAGUAAUGCUUUUCCACUGACAAGCUGAUGCUGAAAGGUUAAUGCAGACUUUUGUUACUACAUUAGACUACUCUCUACUCUGGUCUACUCUGACAGUACUCAGCAUUAAGACAGCUGGCCCCAGGCCAGUCUCCUACCUGCGGAGAACGUAGAUGUUGCCGUUGCGACAGGCGACCGUAAUGCGGAACUCCACAUCAAACUGCCCCGUCACAUCCAUCAGAGUGGGGGCGCUGGGGAGGGACAUCUAUGUGUGUGUGUGUGUGUGUGUGCGCGUGUGUGUGCGUGCAUUAGGGGAAAGAAAGCACAACAAGCACAUCGUCAUUAAGCUUUGUUCCAUGAAACCUUCUGACCAACAAAUAACGAUUCCACAGCCAAAAACACAGCAGCUGAAGAAAAAAAAACACAAGUGCUUGGUUCGUAUAAACUUUUGGCUGUAAUAAACUUUACACAAUCCACA